UUCAUUCUUGUUGAGAAUGGCCCCAAAACCCCAAAGAGAUGUGAAUUGAAAACCACAAGAAGAUGAGGCAUUGUGCAGAGGGUGGGUUUCUAUCUCUGAAGAUGGGGCUAUUGGCACAAAUCAAACAAAUGACUCAUUUUGGCUGCGUGUGUUCCAAAAGUUUUUGGAAAACGAUCCGGGCAUGAGCGGAGCCAAGGUACGAUCACCGCAAGCAAUUGCUUCUUUGUUCAAGAUCAUCAACCAACAAUGUUCUCUUUAGAAGGCAUGUAUGACAAAGGCCAAUGCAAGGCAUGUGAGUGGCUCCAAUCUUGAAGAUGUGGCGAGUACCCAUUUUUUUCAAUGCUUAAAUUUAUAAUUUUAAUUCUUUUCAAUUAUUAACUUGAAUUUUAUUUUAUUUCAUGGGUAGGAUAUGAAUGCAAAAACACUUUUCUUGAAUGAUAAUAAUCCUCCGAAUAGGGCUUUCAAGUUGUGUCAUGCUUGGAGGAAGAUGAAGACGAUGCGAUCAUGCCCACUCCAAGGCCGUUGGGAAGAGAUAAACAGAAUGAUGAAAAAAGAAAGGGAAAGGUGUUGAAGGUUAUCUCAACCAAAGUGGAAAGUUCUUGUCUGAAUUGGUUCAACAAGGAAAUGAGGCAAAAGAGGAUAGGAGGCAAAAGUUAGAGCUCCUACAAGAGCAACAUGCCUAUUAAAUCCAACAAGAUAAGGAGGCCAAUGAAUUGAGGAUAAUGUCCAUGGACCUAUCCAAAUUUACUCCAAGAAAGAAGAAAUAUUGGAGGAAUAAGCAAGACGAAAUUACUGAGGCCCAGAUGAAUACAAGUUCCCCCUACAAUCCAGAAGACAACUCUAUAGACUAUUAUCCAAGCCCUACACAUAGUGGUUAUUAAUUUAUGUUUAUUUGUAAUUGUUGUUUAUCUUUAUUUAUAAUUG
rnacentral:lncRNA from 1 species